CGGACACGAGUUCUCGAAUUAUUACGCUAAAAACGGGGGUUCCUUAUCCAUUAUCUAUAGUCUAGCUAUCCCAAUGGGUGGAGGGAGAUGGCAGUGGUUCGAAGACUUCUACACAAAACCCCCUACUUACCCAAGUCAAUAAAACCCCAACUGAUAAUAUUGAAGUAGGGUAGGUCUUGACACAAGCAAUAAGGAAGCUCACCUUCUCGAUAAACUCCAAACCAAAUGAGAUAACGCAUAACAAGACUCCGAUGACGGUCUACAGGGUGUGGAUUAAAAGAAAUGCAAGAAGAUCCAAUGCUGAGAAGAAAACUACAAUACAGUUGA